rnacentral:piRNA from 1 species
UGGGUAUGUUGCUUUAAUUG